UGGGGAAUCUUCCGCAAUGGGCGAAAGCCUGACGGAGCGACGCCGCGUGAGGGAUGAAGGCCUUCGGGUCGUAAACCUCUUUCAGGUGGGAAGAACUCUGACGGUACCACCAGAAGAAGCCCCGGCUAAUCUUACGUGCCAGCAGCCGCGGUAAUACGUAAGGGGCGAGCGUUGUUCGGAAUCACUGGGUGUAAAGGGUUCGCAGGCGGCCCGGCAAGUCGGACGUGAAAUCCCGAGGCUCAACCUCGGAACGGCAUCCGAAACUACCGGGCUCGGGUACAGGAGAGGAGCGCGGAAUUCCUGGUGUAGCGGUGAAAUGCGUAGAUAUCAGGAAGAACACCCGUGGCGAAGGCGGCGCUCUGGUCUGAUACCGACGCUCAUGAACGAAGGCGUGGGGAGCAAACAGG
rnacentral:rRNA from 1 species